rnacentral:rRNA from 1 species
ACCAAAGAGGGGGACCUUCGGGCCUCUUGCCAUCGGAUGUGCCCAGAUGGGAUUAGCUAGUAGGUGGGGUAACGGCUCACCUANGCGACGAUCCCUAGCUGGUCUGAGAGGAUGACCAGCCACACUGGAACUGAGACACGGUCCAGACUCCUACGGGAGGCAGCAGUGGGGAAUAUUGCACAAUGGGCGCAAGCCUGAUGCAGCCAUGCCGCGUGUAUGAAGAAGGCCUUCGGGUUGUAAAGUACUUUCAGCGGGGAGGAAGGGAGUAAAGUUAAUACCUUUGCUCAUUGACGUUACCCGCAGAAGAAGCACCGGCUAACUCCGUGCCAGCAGCCGCGGUAAUACGGAGGGUGCAAGCGUUAAUCGGAAUUACUGGGCGUAAAGCGCACGCAGGCGGUUUGUUAAGUCAGAUGUGAAAUCCCCGGGCUCAACCUGGGAACUGCAUCUGAUACUGGCAAGCUUGAGUCUCGUAGAGGGGGGUAGAAUUCCAGGUGUAGCGGUGAAAUGCGUAGAGAUCUGGAGGAAUACCGGUGGCGAAGGCGGCCCCCUGGACGAAGACUGACGCUCAGGUGCGAAAGCGUGGGGAGC